rnacentral:lncRNA from 1 species
CUAAGAAGAAACCCAUCGCUACUAUGGUACUUUUAGAAUGCAUAAUGCUCACAAGCAUGGUAUGCAAAGGAAAGCCCUUAUUAUUUACAUACAUAUCUUUAAUGUGUUCAAAACCUAAGAACUUAGAGCUUAGGGUAGAAAGUAAAGCAUACCUUCGAGAUAAAACAUCAGCGACGAUAUUAUCUUUCCCUUGUUUAUACUUGAUCACAUAUGGGAACAACUUUAUGAACUUCACCCACUUAACGUGUUUGUGAUUAAGCUUACCUUGGCC